GGAGGCACUGCCUGCCCAGUGACACAUGUUUAACGGCCGCGGUAUCCUGACCGUGCAAAGGUAGCAUAAUCACUUGUUCUCUAAUUAAGGACUUGAAUGAAUGGCAACACGAGGGUUCAGCUGUCUCUUACUUUCAAUCAGUGAAAUUGACCUCCCCGUGAAGAGGCGAGGAUACUACAAUAAGACGAGAAGACCCUAUGGAGCUUAAAUCAAAUAAUCCAAAUAUAAUGCCCCUCAAACCUAAAAGCUGGUAUAACCAAAUAAUAUUAUUGGAUUAAAAAUUUCGGUUGGGGUGACCUCGGAGCACAACAAAACCUCCGAACAACUUUAACCUAGACCUAACUAGUCAAGGUAUACACAUCAUCAAUUGACCCAAAACUAAUUUGAUCAACGGAACAAGUUACCCUAGGGAUAACAGCGCAAUCCUAUUAAAGAGUCCAUAUCGACAAUAGGGUUUACGACCUCGAUGUUGGAUCAAGACACCCCAAUGGUGCAACCGCUAUUAAUGGUCCGUUUGUUC
rnacentral:rRNA from 1 species